rnacentral:rRNA from 1 species
AUUGAACGCUGGCGGCAGGCCUAACACAUGCAAGUCGAGCGAGCGGCGGACGGGUGUGUAACGUCUGGGAAACUGCCUGAUGGAGGGGGAGAACUACUGGAAACGGUAGCUAAUAACGCAUACUACCAGAUGUGCCUAGAUGGGAUUAGCUAGUAGGUGGGGUAACGGCUCACCUAGGCGACGAUCCCUAGCUGAUCUGAGAGGAUGACCAGCCACACUGGAACGGAGACACGGUCCAAACUCCUACGGGAGGCAGCAGUGGGGAAUAUUGCACAAUGGGCGAAAGCCUGAUGCAGCCAUGCCGCGUGAGUGAAGAAGGCCUUCGGAUUGUAAAGCACUGUCAGCGGGGAGGCGUUACCCGCAGAAGAAGCACCGGCUAACUCCGUGCCAGCAGCCGCGGUAAUAC